GGAUGUGAGGGCGAUCUGGCUGCGACAUCUGUCACCCCAUUGAUUGCCAGGGUUGAUUCGGCUGAUCUGGCUGGCUAGGCGGGUGUCCCCUUCCUCCCUCACCGCUCCAUGUGUGUCCCUCCCGAAGCUGCGCGCUCGGUCGAAGAGGACGGCCUUCCCCGAAUAGAGACGGACCGGUCUUCGGUCGAGGGUAUACGAGUAGCUGCGCUCCCCUGCUAGAACCUCCAAACAAGCUCUCAAGAAUGUAAUCCUCCCAAUAUCUUCACUUGAGCCCAGUAAGACCUACUCAGACUUCAGCCUCCAGCACCAGAAAAUCAUGUGUCAGUGU
ensembl:misc_RNA 7SK 7SK RNA